rnacentral:lncRNA from 1 species
ACAUGUUCAAUCUUACAUGUCACCCUAAACUUUUCGACGUGGCUGGACACAUUGGUGCUUGGCGUCAGCUCCUCUAAAUCCUCCAUAUACCACACCAUAUCACCUCGUGUAAACCCUAUGCAAAGCCUUUACAUAACCUUUCCAUUGGCACAUAUAUAUGCAUGGCCUCCUUCCAUAUCUCCAUUCAAAUCAAUUCAUACCAUCAAAUUCUAUACUAUUAGUCCACUAGCCUCAAAACUACUUUUUAUUUCCCAUUUCAGCUCAAAAUUUGCACACAAAAAUGUCCCUAGUUUCCAAGUGCAUUAAUUUGUCAUUUCACGAUAGGUGUGCCGAUGGCCACCCCGAACAUUAUAAUUAUAAUCCAACUGCAUUUAUGGUUGAAGGUGGUGCAGACGACGACAAUGGAGUUCACAACUAUGCACCAACUGCAUUUUUAGAAGGUGAUGGGGACGACGACGAUGAUGAUGGAGAUUAUGAUUAUGCCCCGGCUGCAUAACGUAUUCGUUGCAUGGUUAGCCUUUGGCCCUUUGCUUAAUAGAAGAAGAUAUUCUUGAUGAGAGUAGAGUGACCUGAACUAUUUUUAAUUGUAAUAGACUAGUAGUAGUCCCAGAGAGGUGGAUUCCACUUUUUGAAGACCCAAGCCUUUUCUCCCAGUAGUGGGUUCUCUGUCAGAAUUCUAAAUGCAAUAUUAGCUGGUUUAGGGUACUAGAUACAGUUAAAUAUCAUGUAAUUGGUACCAAGUAGUUUAUGUUGGCGAAUGGCGAUUUCUAAUGUUAGAUUAAUAUUAUAAAGGAUCAAGAUCCUCUUUGGUUAUGCA